UGUAUGGUGGGUAGUUUGACUGGGGCGGUCUCCUCCCAAAGAGUAACGGAGGAGCUCGAAGGUACGCUCAGCGCGGUCGGACAUCGCGCACUGUGUGCAAAGGCAUAAGCGUGCUUGACUGCAAGAUCGACGGAUCAAGCAGGUACGAAAGUAGGACUUAGUGAUCCGGUGGUUCUGUAUGGAAGGGCCAUCGCUCAACGGAUAAAAGGUACUCCGGGGAUAACAGGGUGUUUGGCACCUCGAUGUCGGCUCAUCUCAUCCUGGGGCUGUAGCCGGUCCCAAGGGUAUGGCUGUUCGCCAUUUAAAGAGGUACGUGAGCUGGGUUCAAAACGUCGUGAGACAGUUUGGUCCCUAUCUGCUGUGGGCGCUGGAGAUUUGACGGGGCCUGCUCCUAGUACGAGAGGACCGGAGUGGACGCACCUCUGGUGUACCUGUUGUCACGCCAGUGGCAUUGCAGGGUAGCUAAGUGCGGAAGAGAUAACCGCUGAAAGCAUCUAAGCGGGAAACUCUCCUGAAGAUGAGAUCUCCCUGGGGACUCGAUCCCCCUGAAGGGUCGUCCGAGACCAGGACGUUGAUAGGCCGGGUGUGGAAGCGCAGUAAUGCGUUAAGCUAACCGGUACUAAUUGCCCGUGAGGCUUGACCCUAUAACUUUGCG
rnacentral:rRNA from 1 species